rnacentral:rRNA from 1 species
UACGGGGGGGGCAAGCGUUGUUCGGAAUUACUGGGCGUAAAGGGCUCGUAGGUGGCCAACUAAGUCAGACGUGAAAUCCCUCGGCUUAACCGGGGAACUGCGUCUGAUACUGGAUGGCUUGAGUGUGGGAGAGGGAUGCGGAAUUCCAGGUGUAGCGGUGAAAUGCGUAGAUAUCUGGAGGAACACCGGUGGCGAAGGCGGCAUCCUGGACCACGACUGACGCUGAGUGAGCGAAAGCCAGGGGAGCAAACGGG